AACGCACAUUGCGCCCCCUGGUAUUCCGGGGGGCAUGCCUGUUCGAGCGUCACAAAAAAUACUCAGGCUCAAAGCUUGACGUUGGGCGAUUGGGCUGCCGCACUUGUACCCUGGGACAUAAAGGCCUAACACGCCUCCCUAGCCUUAUUUCUCUGCGGCCCCGCCUCAAAAUAAUUGGCAGCGGCGCGGAGCCCCGAGCGUACCAAGACCCCCAAAGUCUCCGCUCUAGUGGGCUGUCUGCGAUCCGUUUAAGCCCCUACAAAUGACAUAUACAUCAUAAAAUUGACCUCGGAUCAGGUAGGGAUACCCGCUGAACUUAA
rnacentral:misc_RNA from 3 species